rnacentral:rRNA from 1 species
GUGGGGAAUCUUGCGCAAUGGGCGAAAGCCUGACGCAGCAACGCCGCGUGGGGGAUGAAGGCUCUCGGGUUGUAAACCCCUUUCAGCAGGGACGAAUCAAGACGGUACCUGCAGAAGAAGCCCCGGCUAACUACGUGCCAGCAGCCGCGGUAACACGUAGGGGGCAAGCGUUGUCCGGAUUUAUUGGGCGUAAAGAGCUCGUAGGUGGCUGAGUCAGUCGGAUGUCAAAUCCCCAGGCUCAACCUGGGAUCCCAUCCGAUACUGCGCUGGCUAGAGUCCGGUAGGGGAGCGUGGAAUUCCUGGUGUAGCGGUGAAAUGCGCAGAUAUCAGGAGGAACACCGGCGGCGAAGGCGGCGCUCUGGGCCGGUACUGACACUGAGGAGCGAAAGCGUGGGUAGCAAACAGGAUUAGAAACCCCUGUAGUCC